rnacentral:rRNA from 1 species
UACAGAGGGUGCGAGCGUUGUUCGGAAUUAUUGGGCGUAAAGGGCGCGUAGGCGGUGCGGUAAGUCACUUGUGAAAUCUCCUGGCUCAACUGGGAGCUUGCAGGCGAAACUGCCGUGCUGGAGUGUGGGAGAGGUGCGUGGAAUUCCCGGUGUAGCGGUGAAAUGCGUAGAGAUCGGGAGGAACACCAGAGGCGAAAGCGGCGACCUGGACAGGUACUGACACUCAACUACGAAAGCGUGGGGAGCAAACAGG